UCAUGUUAAUAGUUUAAACCUCUUUGGAGUCUCGCAAACUUUACAUUUUAGUACUAAUAUUUGUUCAAAUUUCAAUUGCUGUAGUGUUUAUUAGAAAAUAGUAUUAUUACAAUGUAAAAGUUUUGUGUGUGAAGUGAUUUUUGUGAUAACAUUUCAAGGAGUUUUUAUUAUCGGAGUAUGGAUGCUGACUUCUAGCUAAUCAAGAAUGGUUGUAAGGCUCUGUGUUUGCCGACAGACAGAAGCUCAAACAACAUGAUAAUGGCGCAGGUUCUUUCGGAAGCCGAUCGGCCAUUAUGCAAUACUGCGUACAGAGAAGGACAACUAUGUCAUGUGCGAGUGCGCUCGAGUACUAUUUCGCACUCUAUUCCACGCAUAGGAUUAAUGCGCAGGACAAGGACAAAGAUAUGUCGCAGGCGCAGGCCACGCCCAUCACCGCCCAUCACCUAUCACCUAGUUGCUCUCCCCACCACUCGAAUCGGCCUGCCAUUGCGAGAGGAUAUCAUUUCGUUUUCGAAUGCGGCGGUGUACGGUGUACGGUGUACGGCUAGAAGGGUCUCGGCGAAAUGGACGUAGCCGACCGGCUUGUUGCGUAAGUUCAACAUGGUUGCGAAUUGAAUUCAGUUUAAUAGUGCGAUAAUUUUAUACCUAUUAAUUUCAAGUGUUUGUCAUUGUGCCCUUAUCAAAUCUAAUUUACAUGAGAAAUUGGAACUGAUGCAGCACCGUUUACAGGAGAAAAGGUAUGCCCGAUACAAGCUAUACUAUUAAAUGAGCACAUUUUGUUUGUCAUCAUGCUGCCCAAGAGAUACAGUAGUUGCUGUUAAAGUACUUCAUCAAACCCGAUAUUGGUUUCAAUGGCACUUUUGUAGAUGGUGUGUGGUGAGUGUGAAGGUUUCGAAAUAGACAAUGGAAUUUAGUAAAGAUGGAAAGUGUUUGAACAUCAUCGUGCUCUGCCAAGGGCCUAAUCAGGGAAGACAAAUGAAUUCGAAAGUGACAUUAUCUACGGCAGAGCUUUAGAAGCAACAUUAUCUCUGCAUGGCAGCAAUAGUGACCAUAAGUCGUUUGCGAUCACUAUGCAAAGGCCAAGUGUAUCAGACUUAAUCGGGG